rnacentral:rRNA from 1 species
CCGCCCGUCACACCAUGGAAGUGUAUUGCACCAGAAGCAGGUAGCCUGACCGCAAGGAGGGGCGCCUACCACGGUGUGGUCCAUGACUGGGGGUGAAGUCGUAACAAGGUACCC